rnacentral:rRNA from 1 species
UUCGGGAACUGUGAGACAGGUGCUGCAUGGCUGUCGUCAGCUCGUGUUGUGAAAUGUUGGUUAAGUCCCGCAACGAGCGCAACCCUUAUCCUUUGUUGCCAGCGGUCCGGCCGGGAAACUCAAAGGAGACUGCCAGUGAUAAACUGGAGGAAGGUGGGGAUGACGUCAAGUCAUCAUGGCCCUUACGACCAGGGCUACACACGUGCUACAAUGGCGCAUACAAAGAGAAGCGACCUCGCGAGAGCAAGCGGACCUCAUAAAGUGCGUCGUAGUCCGGAUUGGAGUCUGCAACUCGACUCCAUGAAGUCGGAAUCGCUAGUAAUCGUGGAUCAGAAUGCCACGGUGAAUACGUUCCCGGGCCUU